GUGAGAUGGCCUAUCUCUAUGAGCGUGGGGUGUAGUGGGCGUUCAGGGUUUAAUCUCGCACGCACCUGGGGACAUGCCCAGCGGCUGUGUUUUCUUUUGUGACUGAUGCUGGCAGAAUGGGAGUGUACCAGCAAAGCUGCCCUCCCCUGGGCCCGCAGUACGAAUCCGGAGUCCCCGGGCUUACUCAGAGAUUUUCCGGCCUCAGUCUGCUAGCAGCACCGGGAAAACACCCACCAGCCUAACCAGGGCAGGGUGGAAUGCCUCCGUUGUGUUUUCUUCCAGGUUCCUCAGAAUUGCCCAAACUGAGUUCGUUAUCACCUUGCUCAGAGUGCAAACACAGAGCAUAUUCUUUUGUUAUGUUUCAAGAUGACACGAAGAGAGGUGGAUGUGCCUGCAUUCAAGGAAGCUGGCAGCAAGAGGGUGGUGGAUGUUGUCAAACCUCGCCAGGUUGAGUAAAUGAUUGAGGUAGCAGGAGGUCAUCUUCACUCUAGGAGGCAACUUGGUGGUGGUGUGGUUAAAACAGCUUAGACUUAAUUCUAGUAGUGUUGCUAUUAGAAGACAUGGAAGUCACAUGUGUAUUCCAUUCUCUUCUGAAGGGUAGUGCUGAGGACAGGAGAAUUAAGAAUUGCCACAUAAUGCCUUAAGUCAUGCACCUUUUAUGUAUGGCCGUGAGCAAUCUGCCGUGGACAGAUUUUGGCAUGAUGGCACCAAGGAAGAAAAUAGAGCCGAUGAGAUGACUGCAUAUACAGCGGAGGAGUACCAGCCCUGAUGACAUCGCAGCCACUGAUGACUCCAUAAGAGAAGCAGAAAGAGGUUCCUGAACGUGAGAUCCUGACCUCCUCAUAACAUCAUGCUGCAGGCUGAGGAAAGGGGUCCCUGAACCGAUGUUCCUGACUCACUACAACCUCCUGCAGUCUAAGAAGGGAGAGAAGAUCAUGGUAUGACUGGUGAUUCCCAGCCUCUUGUUGGAAUUGCUGGGCAGACUUCCAGACCUAGUGAGUCCUGUUGACCUUGGAGCCGGACCAAAAACACAGACUAAAUAUUUGACUGUUUUACUCUUUGGGACAUGGAACUCAUUUUGACAGUAUGGUAUUCAAUCUACUGUUAAAAUAUUGGGCCUGAGAAUGGAGAACUCAUUUUCCCCGCAGGGGAAAAAGGACUCAUUUCAAGGAGUGUGAAGUCCCUCUUCAAAUAUGAGGAGGGUAGUCUAAGGGUUUUUGCUGCUGCUCAGAGACUGGGACAAUUAUUUAAAAGCAGCAAUGUGCCUGGACUCUCACUCAGCAGAAAAAUCUUUUUUUGUCUUUUGAUUAGAAUGGAUUUAAGAGAAUUGUGAUGUGACAGAUUGUGUAUUUGUUGUUAAUUUCCCAUUUAGAAUUAUGGGUAUUGACUGGUUAAUGCUUGUAACUGCUUUAGUUCUCCAUAAGAUGUUAUGAAAAGUUAGAUUUUUUCUAUGAAUACUUGGAUUUAACAUAUUUGAUAAACAUUUUGAUUUUAAUAUGGCAAAAAAUUGUUAAGAAGCAAUCCAGAACAACCAAAAAGGGCAUUCCCAACCCUAGCGAUUCUUUCUCCUUUAAUUAGGAGACUGUAGCCAUUAGGAACAUGUUUAUUCACAAAAUAUAUCUAAUUGCAGAUGAACUCUCUUGACAAAAAAUUGGCUCAGAGACACAGAGCCCAAAAGUAUUUUCUUUAAUUCUUUGUUUGCAGAGGUCGGCAGUCAUCAACGGGUUUGAUUCUUUUUCUUCCCAGACUCCUAAGACAUGGGCUUGUAUGAUUAAAAUACAGAUACUGAAGACGGAUAAGUCUGGGAAACAGGAAAGUGUUCAAAGAUGCAAUCAUCUGUCCUGUUGCAGAAGCACAGGCUUUAUUAAAAUUAACGAAAGGGGAGGAAAUGUGGAGACUGAAAAAGGCAGGCCCAUUUCCAACUGGUUAGAGAGUUUGGAGAUUGGCAAGCAUAAAUGCAUGCCCCAACUCAGCAUGUGAGUGCUUGGUUCUUUUGGGGUCUUUUGAAGUUAAGUAAGUCCAUAACAUCCUGACAGAGGGUCAGGACAUGCAAACGUACUUCUGCUCCUUCUUUUGUAACUAUGAGGUCACCUGGGGAGGGGUGAUCUUUACAAUACAUGACCUAGAGCAGCUUUGCUACCUAGACUACAGAAUGCUAAUGAUUUGGUGUCUCAGAGUGAUCAAGCAAUUGACUGUGUGAGUUAUCCUUUGUAUCAUGUUAAUAAAGUCUUUUAUUACCUUCUCCCUCA